UGAAAAGCUGUGAACAAGCGCAGUAGUCGAUGGAUGGAAUCCAUGUCAGAGAGCUGGUGGUUGGUGCGAACCAGCGGAUCGCUAUCGAUGAAUUACACUUGGGAGCUGAUGCCGGCCUAAGGAGGUCGGUGUACGGAGCGAUCCGUUAUGCAAUGAGGGGAAAGCCAAUUCGUGCUUUCAAUUAGGGUGGUACCGCGGAAAUAAACUCCGUCCCUUUU
rnacentral:ncRNA from 1 species